UUGAGCCGUAUGCAGUGAAAGUUGCACGUACGGUUCUUAUAUGGACUCCCAGUUGUAAUCAACAAAAAAUUUUAAAUAAAGCAGUUGAGAUGCGCGCUUAUAUAC
rnacentral:ncRNA from 1 species